rnacentral:tRNA from 1 species
GAGACACAAGUAUAAACCAUUACAUCACCUUGUCAAGACAAAAUUGUAGGUUAAAACCCUGCGUAUCCCC